GGGCCCGCACAAGCGGUGGAGCAUGUGGUUUAAUUCGAUGCAACGCGAAGAACCUUACCAGGGCUUGACAUACUACAAAUUCUUUUGAGAAAGAGAAGUGCCUUCGGGAAUGUAGAUACAGGUGGUGCAUGGCUGUCGUCAGCUCGUGUCGUGAGAUGUUGGGUUAAGUCCCGCAACGAGCGCAACCCUUAUUUUUAGUUACCAAUUCGUUGGGUUUUUUAGAAAGACUGCCGGUGACAAACCGGAGGAAGGUGAGGAUGACGUCAAGUCAGCAUGCCCCUUAUGUCCUGGGCUACACACGUGCUACAAUGGUUAAGACAAAGAGUCGCAAGCUCGCGAAGAGUUAG
rnacentral:rRNA from 1 species